rnacentral:rRNA from 1 species
CCCGCUGAACUUAAGCAUAUCAAUAAGCGGAGGAAAAGAAACUAACAAGGAUUCCCCUAGUAACUGCGAGUGAAGCGGCAACAGCUCAAAUUUGAAAUCUGGCCCUCGGGUCCGAGUUGUAAUUUGUAGAGGAUGCUUUUGGCGCGGUGCCUUCCGAGUUCCCUGGAACGGGACGCCUUAGAGGGUGAGAGCCCCGUACGGUUGGACACCAAGCCUCUGUAAAGCUCCUUCGACGAGUCGAGUAGUUUGGGAAUGCUGCUCUAAAUGGGAGGUAAAUUUCUUCUAAAGCUAAAUAUUGGCCAGAGACCGAUAGCGCACAAGUAGAGUGAUCGAAAGAUGAAAAGCACUUUGAAAAGAGGGUUAAAUAGCACGUGAAAUUGUUGAAAGGGAAGCGUUUGCGACCAGACUUUUUCCUAGCGGAUCAUCCGGUGUUAUCACCGGUGCACUUUGCUAGGUCAAGGCCAGCAUCGGUUUUGGUGGUUGGAUAAAGGCCUAGGGAAUGUAGCUCUCUGCGGGGAGUGUUAUAGCCCUAGGUGCAAUGCAGCCCACCGAGACCGAGGACCGCGCUCCGGCUAGGAUGCUGGCGUAAUGGUUGUAAGCGACCCGUCUUGAAACACGG